GACGAACGCUGGCGGCGUGCCUAAUACAUGCAAGUAGAACGCACAGUUUAUACCGUAGCUUGCUACACCAUAGACUGUGAGUUGCGAACGGGUGAGUAACGCGUAGGUAACCUGCCUGGUAGCGGGGGAUAACUAUUGGAAACGAUAGCUAAUACCGCAUAAUAUUGAUUAUUCAUGAUAAUUGAUUGAAAGAUGCUAUUGCAUCACUACCAGAUGGACCUGCGUUGUAUUAGCUAGUAGGUGAGGUAACGGCUCACCUAGGCGACGAUACAUAGCCGACCUGAUAGGGUGAUCGGCCACACUGGGACUGAGACACGGCCCAGACUCCUACGGGAGGCAGCAGGAGGGAAGCUUCGGCAAUGGACGAAAGUCUGACCGAGCAACGCCGCGUGAGUGAAGAAGGUUUUCGGAUCGUAAAGCUCUGUUGUAAGAGAAGAACGGGUGUGAGAGUGGAAAGUUCACACUGUGACGGUAUCUUACCAGAAAGGGACGGCUAACUACGUG
rnacentral:rRNA from 1 species